AGUGUCUUUCCCCAGAGCAACUGAUAGAGUUGUCUUUAGCGAGAAGUCCACAUGAGCUAAUCAAGGCCCAUAUAGUUCACCUUUAAAAGACUCAAACCAUCUGGCAGGCUGUCCUAUGAUAAAUCUCUAUGAUAAAUGUCUCCGUUUUGAUGUUACAAAGGAACCGCAGACCUGCUCCGUUUUGGCACAGCUGAAAACAUACUGGCAACGGUAGAAUAGAACUCAGAUGUCCCAAAAUAGAGAAGUAAAUCAUUUUGACCUGCGGGGCAUAGUACAUUUAGAGAAAACCUGAUUGUAAUAAAAAGGUUGGACUCAUCGCAGUUUCUGUUCUAGGAGUGGCGAUAUAUUUUUUUGUAAUACCUUCUGGUUUCAUGAAAAUUCCAGCAUGUACACAUUAAAAACUUUCAUUCUUUUUUUUUUUUUUCUCCCUUCUUUUGGUGAGUCUUCAGACAUUCCUCUAUGCUGCCUGUGAAUGACAACAGUCUCCUCUCUCUGGUUCUCAGACAUCCUGCAGGGGAACUGUGGAGGCAAGCAUGCCUUCAGAAUGAUUAAUCCGUUCGCCUUUCAGAGGUCUGUUUUGCUGGGCCCACAGCCACUGCUAAGAAAGGACACACUGUGACUACCAGCACCAGGAAGCAGAGGUACAGCCACUAAACUCUAGGUUAGCCCAGACCUGAUGCCGAGAGGGGGUCGUAAAAUAAAUUAUGUUGGGUGGCUUGUGAAGGUAGACUUUUAUGUCCAGCCAAACUUCAGAAACAAUUUAUGGAGUGGUCAGAGAUCAGAAGAGC